rnacentral:rRNA from 1 species
UAGAUACCCUGGUAGUCCACGCCCUAAACGAUGUCAACUAGUUGUUGGGGAUUCAUUUCCUUAGUAACGUAGCUAACGCGUGAAGUUGACCGCCUGGGGAGUACGGUCGCAAGAUUAAAACUCAAAGGAAUUGACGGGGACCCGCACAAGCGGUGGAUGAUGUGGAUUAAUUCGAUGCAACGCGAAAAACCUUACCUACCCUUGACAUGCCACUAACGAAGCAGAGAUGCAUUAGGUGCUCGAAAGAGAA